rnacentral:rRNA from 1 species
UACGUAGGGUGCAAGCGUUAAUCGGAAUUACUGGGCGUAAAGCGUGCGCAGGCGGUUGUGUAAGACAGAUGUGAAAUCCCCGGGCUCAACCUGGGAACUGCAUUUGUGACUGCACGGCUGGAGUGCGGCAGAGGGGGAUGGAAUUCCGCGUGUAGCAGUGAAAUGCGUAGAUAUGCGGAGGAACACCGAUGGCGAAGGCAAUCCCCUGGGCCUGCACUGACGCUCAUGCACGAAAGCGUGGGGAGCAAACAGGG